GCUUAUUUAGUUUAAUUUUUUUUUUUGAAUAAUAUUUUGAAAAGAUAUAGG
rnacentral:tRNA from 1 species